rnacentral:rRNA from 1 species
AAGAGAGCUUGCUCUCUGAUUCAGCGGCGGACGGGUGAGUAAUGCCUAGGAAUCUGCCUGGUAGUGGGGGACAACGUUUCGAAAGGAACGCUAAUACCGCAUACGUCCUACGGGAGAAAGCAGGGGACCUUCGGGCCUUGCGCUAUCAGAUGAGCCUAGGUCGGAUUAGCUAGUUGGUGAGGUAAUGGCUCACCAAGGCGACGAUCCGUAACUGGUCUGAGAGGAUGAUCAGUCACACUGGAACUGAGACACGGUCCAGACUCCUACGGGAGGCAGCAGUGGGGAAUAUUGGACAAUGGGCGAAAGCCUGAUCCAGCCAUGCCGCGUGUGUGAAGAAGGUCUUCGGAUUGUAAAGCACUUUAAGUUGGGAGGAAGGGCAUUAACCUAAUACGUUAGUGUUUUGACGUUACCGACAGAAUAAGCACCGGCUAACUCUGUGCCAGCAGCCGCGGUAAUACAGAGGGUGCAAGCGUUAAUCGGAAUUACUGGGCGUAAAGCGCGCGUAGGUGGUUUGUUAAGUUGGAUGUGAAAGCCCCGGGCUCAA